rnacentral:rRNA from 1 species
CAAUAGCGUAUAUUAAAGUUGUUGCGGUUAAAAAGCUCGUAGUUGGAUUUCUGCCGAGGACGACCGGUCCGCCCUCCGGGUGAGUAUCUGGCUCGGCCUGGGCAUCUUCUUGGAGAACGUAGCUGCACUUGGCUGUGUGGUGCGGUAUUCAGGACUUUUACUUUGAGGAAAUUAGAGUGUUUCAAGCAGGCACACGCCUUGAAUACAUUAGCAUGGAAUAAUAAGAUAGGACCUCGGUUCUAUUUUGUUGGUUUCUAGAUCUGAGGUAAUGAUUAAUAGGGAUAGUUGGGGGCAUUCGUAUUUAACCGUCAGAGGUGAAAUUCUUGGAUUUGUUAAAGACGGACUACUGCGAAAGCAUUUGCCAAGGAUGUUUUCAUUGA